GCCCUCCUCAGCCGCGUGCCCCCGGACAGCGGCCGCCGCCGCGCCACGUGCAGACGUGGGUGGUUGCGCCGCUGCUGUCUCGCAGCGCCAGGGGCUGCAGCUUCGUCCCCGCAGAGCAAACCCUUCCGGACCCGGCGUGGUGCCCACCCCGGCUCGCGUUCUUCUCCCCACGCGGGAAGAGCGGCUAGGCUGCAGCUUGGAACCGAGAGGAUCCCAGGGUGACUCUAGAGUCGACCGACCUGGACCAGAGCGCGAAGUACCCACACCUGCCUCUUGAGGCUCUGCCUCGUUUGUGGAGACAGGAAACAGCCUGGCACCCCUUGAACUGCUUAGUGAAUUUGUGUUUUCUGGGGUCUUCUGGACGUAGCUGGACUGUACCUGAGCUUCAGGAUGGACACUUUUUGGGUAGUCAAGAGAGAGAGAGGCCUGGGCACCUGCGGCAUCGCACUCCCCCACUUGCUUGGCAGGACGUGCCUCCUUGUUAUCAUUGCCCCAGGAUUCCUGGAGAGCUUGUGGGUCUGAGGCUACUCCUUCCGAACAAAUAGAACAUUCUUUAUUCAUUCUGAGUGUCACUUUCCCCCAGGCACCGUGCUAGACGCUGGGUUACACAAGUGGCUCUCUGGAGCUUUGAAAAAUCGCCGUGCCCGGGCACCACCCCAAAUCAUCAGAAUCUCCCGGGACGGGACACAAGCAUCAGAAUUCUUUCCAGUUCAAGAUGAUUGCAAAAGGCAGUAAAGAUGAGAACCAAAGAGCUUAAAAAUCAGUGAGACUGGCUGAAGAAACGAAUGCUCUAAUCCCUAGAAAAGUACUAGGCCCAUUAUGUUUGAUGCCCAGAGGAUUAACAAUUAUUUUUGUUUUCAUUUUUGCAUCGUAUGAAAGAUUUAUGUUUAUUACUUACGCUGUUUAUUUAAGGGAAUACUCAAAGGAGUGGGUGAGACAGAUUUUCUCCAUUCCUUCACUGAUGAUUUGCUCUCAAUUAUUUGAGCUAAUGGAAAGACAUCUAGGCAGGGAUGAUAUGAAAAAUAGACUUUUCAAGCUUUAUUAGUUUUUUCUUGCAUUUUUGUUAGGAGAUGAGGUUGUCAAAUAAUGAAUUUAUGGACUUGGGGAGUAUCCAUGCAUUGCAAAAAUUCAUACCAAGUGAUCCAUUUUUCGCCUUUGCCUGAACGUUUUAUACCUCAUCUGGAAACUCCUGUUCUCUAAUGUCGCAAUGACACCUGCAUGGUAAUGAGCUGCCGGCUAUUCUGUGGGUACAUCCUUCAAAGCCUUGUCACCCAGUGUUUACUGAGGACCCGAUAUGCACCACACAUUGUGCCAGAACAUAGUGAGUCCUUAUUUAUUUCUACAGACCGGUUACAAAGACUAAGACAAAAACUAAAUAGGUGAAACCCGUGAACAUAAUGUUGAGAGAAUAAAGCAAGUCAGAAGAGAAGGUUGUGACCUGGGAAGAAUCAGCCUACUUUCACUUUUCCUUCUUCCCUGUGCUGGGGUGUGGACAUAAUGGCCCCCUUGAACUCAGAAUUGGAAACUAGAUAGUUGGCUGCCUUACUGGGAAGAGAAUACAUUGACUGCAGUAAGUACAUUCACCUGCCAUUUGGAUUCCUUUUUUUAAAUUUUUUUUUAAUGUUUAUUUAUUUUUGAGACAGAGACAGCAUGAACGGGGGAGGGUCAGAG